CGGGAACACCCGCAGCUGCACAGCAGAACUGCAGAGACUUAGUGUGUCGUCAGCAAAUCGGAACGACGAAACAAAAGCCGGAUCGAGAAGUUCCCCGCCACGGAGCACACGGACCCGAACAUACAAAGUGCGGAAGAGAAAGACGCCAGACACAUUCAUUGGAAACCCCAAAAGGGGUUUUUGUUUUUCCUUUUCAUCCUAUUCUGCGGAAUCAGUCAUCGACGACUGACUAGAUCUUGGUCCAACCAUCUUCAACGUGGACGGUUCCCUUCUACUUGGAGGUUAAGCGCGACUACACGGCAGAACACGAGGAGGAACCGAAAUUAUUACACUGUGGUUCUGGAAGCCGGAUUGAUUAGCCGAGAUCGUGAGUCACACACCGACAUCGAUCGUAUUUCCGACGGAGGCGUUUGGAAUAGUGGCCUCGUGCGAGACACAGGAGUUUUGAUUGGUGCGAUGAGAUUGGGUGCGAGCGUGACGUCAUCGCACUGAUAGUGAGUGAUUUGCUGAUCGCAAGCCGGAGAGUAAUUGGUCUUCGUCGCGGAUCGAUCUCCGACCAGACAGGCGCUUGCGGCUUAAUUACCGUUGCGUUGCGCGCAGAAUAUUGGAGUAAGAGCCGUAGCGGGAUUGUGGACUGAGCGAUUUCGAGCUUCGGACGAUAGUUGUUGGCAGUGCUGACAAUGACAUCGGUCGGAUAAGGACGAUGGGGAUUCGAUCGUCCAGUGAGCAAGGCUUCGGUAC